AUUAUGCUCCCUCCGUCCGAAAAUACUUGUCAUUGAAAUGGAUGUAUCUAGAUGUAUUUUAGUUCUAGAUACAUUCAUUUUCAUCCAUUUUGAUGACAAGUAAUUACGGACGGAGGGAGUAUAAU
rnacentral:pre_miRNA from 1 species